rnacentral:lncRNA from 1 species
CACACCCACAUAUAUAUAGGUAUUUGGUUUGUCAAUGUUACAUUUUGUACAGCUAGCAGGGUAGAAACUUUUUAUUUUGAAAACAGAUAUACAUGUACUGAAAAUAUGGAUCUGGACAGCAUUUCUAAAUGCACUUUUGUCUUGCUUGACGAGUCAAAUGCAAGACAUAGAUAUGCUGUUUCCGGUGUCGGCGACAGCGGCGUCAACAAUGUAUUAGUUUGUGAUUAGGUCUUGUUUAUGAAGGACCACUAGUGGUAAGUCAAUGAUAUUUGGUUUGCAGUUGUAUUAAUAUUGGCACAUCACAUUACCAUGGAGAUUAUUUGGGCCCGCCCACUCAGUUAUGGUCUAUUGACUUAGAAACUACUUUUGCUAAGUUUCCAUGUAUUAGUUUGUGAAUAGGUCAGUUUAUGGGGAACCACUAGUAGUAAGUUAUUGAUAAUUGGUAUGCAGUUGUAUAAGCAUUGGCCUAUAUCAUUUCCAUGAAGAUUAUUUGGCC